rnacentral:rRNA from 1 species
UCAGAAGUGCGAAUGCUGACAUAAGUAACGAUAAAGCGGGUGAAAAGCCCGCUCGCCGGAAGACCAAGGGUUCCUGUCCAACGUUAAUCGGGGCAGGGUGAGUCGACCCCUAAGGCGAGGCCGAAAGGCGUAGUCGAUGGGAAACAGGUUAAUAUUCCUGUACUUGGUGUUACUGCGAAGGGGGGACGGAGAAGGCUAUGUUGGCCGGGCGACGGUUGUCCCGGUUUAAGCGUGUAGGCUGGUUUUCCAGGCAAAUCCGGAAAAUCAAGGCUGAGGCGUGAUGACGAGGCACUACGGUGCUGAAGCAACAAAUGCCCUGCUUCCAGGAAAAGCCUCUAAGCAUCAGGUAACAUCAAAUCGUACCCCAAACCGACACAGGUGGUCAGGUAGAGAAUACCAAGGCGCUUGAGAGAACUCGGGUGAAGGAACUAGGCAAAAUGGUGCCGUAACUUCGGGAGAAGGCACGCUGAUAUGUAGGUGAAGUCCCUUGCGGAUGGAGCUGAAAUCAGUCGAAGAUACCAGCUGGCUGCAACUGUUUAUUAAAAACACAGCACUGUGCAAACACGAAAGUGGACGUAUACGGUGUGACGCCUGCCCGGUGCCGGAAGGUUAAUUGAUGGGGUUAGCGCAAGCGAAGCUCUUGAUCGAAGCCCCGGUAAACGGCGGCCGUAACUAUAACGGUCCUAAGGUAGCGAAAUUCCUUGUCGGGUAAGUUCCGACCUGCACGAAUGGCGUAAUGAUGGCCAGGCUGUCUCCACCCGAGACUCAGUGAAAUUGAACUCGCUGUGAAGAUGCAGUGUACCCGCGGCAAGACGGAAAGACCCCGUGAACCUUUACUAUAGCUUGACACUGAACAUUGAGCCUUGAUGUGUAGGAUAGGUGGGAGGCUUUGAAGUGUGGACGCCAGUCUGCAUGGAGCCGACCUUGAAAUACCACCCUUUAAUGUUUGAUGUUCUAACGUGGACCCGUGAUCCGGGUUGCGGACAGUGUCUGGUGGGUAGUUUGACUGGGGCGGUCUCCUCCUAAAGAGUAACGGAGGAGCACGAAGGUUGGCUAAUCCUGGUCGGACAUCAGGAGGUUAGUGCAAUGGCAUAAGCCAGCUUGACUGCGAGCGUGACGGCGCGAGCAGGUGCGAAAGCAGGUCAUAGUGAUCCGGUGGUUCUGAAUGGAAGGGCCAUCGCUCAACGGAUAAAAGGUACUCCGGGGAUAACAGGCUGAUACCGCCCAAGAGUUCAUAUCGACGGCGGUGUUUGGCACCUCGAUGUCGGCUCAUCACAUCCUGGGGCUGAAGUAGGUCCCAAGGGUAUGGCUGUUCGCCAUUUAAAGUGGUACGCGAGCUGGGUUUAGAACGUCGUGAGACAGUUCGGUCCCUAUCUGCCGUGGGCGCUGGAGAACUGAGGGGGGCUGCUCCUAGUACGAGAGGACCGGAGUGGACGCAUCACUGGUGUUCGGGUUGUCAUGCCAAUGGCACUGCCCGGUAGCUAAAUGCGGAAGAGAUAAGUGCUGAAAGCAUCUAAGCACGAAACUUGCC